rnacentral:tRNA from 1 species
GGUGGGGUUCCCGAGCGGCCAAAGGGACAGACUGUAAAUCUGCCGUCAUCGACUUCGAAGGUUCGAAUCCUUCCCCCACCGACCA